UCAACACAAAGAUGAGUCCCUAAUAAAUGCA
rnacentral:piRNA from 1 species